GUAAAUUUAAACCACUAUUGGUUGGAUGAGUGAAGAACAAAUGCUAGUUCAUCAAUUGCUGUUUCAAAGAAGGACUUGAACUGUCCUUUUAAAUGUGCUGAGAGCUUACUAGAAGGAGGAAAAUUUGGGCCACGUGUCUCAGCUCAUUGUGUGUGAAGACAGGAGCUGCAAGUGGUCUGGCUUUCAGUCUCCAACCAUACUGCCUCAAUGAGUGGGGAUCAUCUCCAGGAACCGUACAUGCUCAUAGUCUACAAGAAAUCCAGAUCAGAAAUGCCCCCACCUGGGUUCCAUCCUGGGACCUGCGGUCUUGUGCCCUCCUCGCUCUUCCUCUGCUCAUCUAUUUGAAGGUGUUUGUAGACACCGUAAUCAGCUUUAUUAUCUGCUUUUGCACCAAACAAUAUGCUUCCAACCCGUUUUCAUGACUUCCCAUGUAUUCUACCGUGAACUGUUCCCUGGCUGUGGAGCAGUCAUGGUACAGGGAGCAAUAAUGUAAUUACGCCACAGCAGCUGGACAUUCAGGCCUGCUCCCACUUUUCUG
rnacentral:lncRNA from 1 species